rnacentral:rRNA from 1 species
AGUGAACGCUGGCGGCAGGCCUAACACAUGCAAGUCGAGCGGCAGCGGGUUCCCGCGAGGGGAUGCCGGCGAGCGGCGGACGGGUGAGGAACACAUCGGAAUCUGCCUGGUUGUGGGGGAUAACGUAGGGAAACUUACGCUAAUACCGCAUGAGACCCUGAGUCGACGGACUGGGGGUGAAAGUGAGGGACCUUCGGGCCUCACGCGACCAGAUGAGCCGAUGUCGGAUUAGCUAGUUGGCGGGGUAACGGCCCGCCAAGGCGACGAUCCGUAGCUGGUCUGAGAGGAUGAUCAGCCACACUGGGACUGAGACACGGCCCAGACUCCUACGGGAGGCAGCAGUGGGGAAUCUUGGACAAUGGGCGCAAGCCUGAUCCAGCCAUGCCGCGU